rnacentral:rRNA from 1 species
UACGUAGGGGGCAAGCGUUGUCCGGAUUUAUUGGGCGUAAAGAGCGUGUAGGCGGCUAUACAGGUCCGCUGUGAAAACUCGAGGCUCAACCUCGAGACGUCGGUGGAAACCGUAUGGCUAGAGUCCGGAAGAGGAGAGUGGAAUUCCUGGUGUAGCGGUGAAAUGCGCAGAUAUCAGGAAGAACACCAAUGGCGAAAGCAGCUUUCUGGGACGGUACUGACGCUGAGACGCGAAAGCGUGGGGAGCAAACAGG